rnacentral:rRNA from 1 species
UACGUAGGGUGCGAGCGUUGUCCGGAAUUAUUGGGCGUAAAGAGCUCGUAGGCGGUCUGUCGCGUCUGCUGUGAAAUCCCGAGGCUCAACCUCGGGCUUGCAGUGGGUACGGGCAGGCUAGAGUGCGGUAGGGGAGAAUGGAACUCCUGGUGUAGCGGUGAAAUGCGCAGAUAUCAGGAGGAACACCGGUGGCGAAGGCGGGUCUCUGGGCCGUAACUGACGCUGAGGAGCGAAAGCGUGGGGGAGCGAACAGG